CAGCAUCCGUGAUCUACUUCCUGCAAGCUUUUCAGACCGAUCUUGUCAGGAUGUACGGGGGGAAAUCAAACAAAAGGACUGUGAUGAUUGUUUGUGAUCGCUCUAUGGUACUUCUGCAAUCGCUUGCAAUGACAUUUUGCAAGUCAAGUCUGGAAGAUCUUUUGCAGAAGUACUAUAGAAUUGUCACUGGACAACAUCCCACUGACAAGAUGGACCUGCCCAUUCUUCAUCGACGUCUCAGUCACAUCAUGAAGAAUGCCAAGGAUCUCUGCAAAAAACAGAAUCCAAAACACUACAAGCUGGCAAUGCACAUAUUUGGGCUACUUGCGUGUAGUUCAAGUCUUAAAGACUUGGAUGAGGUUCUUCUGAGUGCAACCCAUUGACAAUAACCUGAUAAAGCUGACAGCUGGAUGUGGGAACCACACCCUUGAUAUGACACUUCCAAGGACGUCAUGGGACAGCACCAGCAUACCAGCAGUUCAGUCAGUGCCACAAUGAGGUCAGGCAGUCAAAGACACAGGGCAUCAUGGAAAAGAGUCAGUGGGACCUGAGGGCAAUAAAGUUACAAGGAGACGACUCUCAAGACUGGACGACUUUGUCCAAAUUUACCAAAAAAUGCAUGAUGCUCUUCUGCUUGAGUAUGCUGACAUGGAAAGGUCAAGAAAGAAGGUGAACUUUGACAACUUCCAGGGCAUUGUUUCCUUUGUAAAUAUUGCAAAUGUACACUGGAAUCUUUUGUGUUUGAUUUGGCCAAUUAUUGUGCUCUGGCAAAACCUCCUGGAUCAGGGCCUCCAUUGAGAAAUUGGGUGAGUAUUUUAAUUUCUUUUUCUUUUUUAAUUGUUUUGAUUGAUGCUUUUUUUGAAUAACAAUGACAGUGUCACAAAACAAGCUGCUUUUAGGUUUUUCAAGUUGGAAAAUGGGGUAGGAUUAAACUGAAUGCCAUUUUAGUUCCAUUGCCUUAAAACUCAUGUAGCAUUUAUAGUAGCAUUUUCAGGUGUUGUGGAAGCAGAAAUUUAAGUUGAAAAUUCAACAUAAAUUGAAAACAUAUAAUCUUAGUAUUUACACUGAUCAUCCAUAACAUUAUGACCACCUUCCUAACCUGACCGGUCUGCGGCUACGCACCCCCAUAUGGGACAAACUGCAAUGUAUGUGUUCUGACACCUUUCUAUCGGAACCAGCAUUAACUUUUUCAGCAAUAUGAGCUACAGUAGCUCUUCUGUUGGAUCAGACCUCACGGACCAGCCUUCACUCCCCACGUGCAUCAGUGAGCCUGUCGCCGGUUUCCUAGUUUUCCAUCCUCGGACCACUUUUGAUAGGUACUUACCACUUUAGACCAACACCCCACAAGAGCUGCAGUUUUGGAGAUGCUCUAACCCAGUCGUCUAACCAUCACAUCCUUACGUUUGCCCAUUUUUCCUGCUUACAACACAUCAACUUCAAGGACAAAAAUGACCAUCUUGAUUUAGAUUGGUUCCCUUUAAGUCUCUGCUUUUAAAAUGCAACUCUAUCUGCCACUGGGUCUGUGGCCUCCCUGCGGUGUCCAUACAAUCUCAACAGUUCUUAUUGGGAAAAAUUGUCAAUUUACACUUAAAUGUGAGAGAACACUCUGAAAAUCAUAUUUGAGAUUUCCAGAUUGUCAUUUUAUAGAUUCAAUGUGACAACUGCAAACGAUUGUAGUUUUAGCUCUAUUUAUUAGUGUAUAUUUGUAUGUAUUUUGUUAUUUUGUUUUUUAAGGAUUUAUUUUAUUAUUUACUGUGAUAAAGAAACAAAGGGCAGUGUGAAAUGCAAUUUUUGAAGUGUGAUUAAAAAACUGAAUAUCUACAGUGACAAACAAGUGGUUUAAUUUUUCCCCAUUGUUUCUUUUGCAUUUUAUUUAUUCCACUCUGUCUCUGUAGCUCCUCUUGCAGACCAUUAAUGUGGGUAACAAGUUCAACUAGUGCAAUCAAAUUUGACAAAUCUAAAGCUGACACACUCCACCUCAUAUCCUUGUAGGUGUAUUUGGAAAUGCUUUUUUGAGAUUACAUCAAACAACAUGGAGGUAAGACACUUAAAUGAUAUUCAUUUACAAAUAAAUAAUUGUUUUUAAAAAAAGCCUUUUUACAGCGUAAAGGAGCUUAAUUUUGAAUAUUGAGAUCAGUCUUUCCUGAUAUGUCAGUAAAACUCAGAGGUUGUCUACUAUCAAGGAGACCAUCGGCCUGCACCACCAGGCUCAGAGACAGUUUCAUCCCCCAGGCCAUAAGACUUUUAAACUCCUCCAAUCUGCAAUAAUUCCACUAAC